UACGUAGGGACCAAGCGUUGUUCGGAUUUACUGGGCGUAAAGGGCGCGUAGGCGGCAAUUCAAGUCAGCUGUGAAAUCUCCGAGCUUAACUCGGAACGGUCAGCUGAUACUGCUUUGCUAGAGUGCAGAAAGGGCAAUCGGAAUUCUUGGUGUAGCGGUGAAAUGCGUAGAUAUCAAGAGGAACACCUUAGGCGAAGGCGGGUUGCUAGGCUGACACUGACGCUGAGGCGCGAAAGCUAGGGUAGCAAACGGG
rnacentral:rRNA from 1 species